rnacentral:rRNA from 1 species
UACGUAGGGUGCGAGCGUUGUCCGGAAUUAUUGGGCGUAAAGAGCUCGUAGGCGGUGUGUCGCGUCAGCCGUGAAAACCUGCAGCUUAACUGUGGGCUUGCGGUCGAUACGGGCAUCACUGGAGUUCGGCAGGGGAGACUGGAAUUCCUGGUGUAGCGGUGAAAUGCGCAGAUAUCAGGAGGAACACCGGUGGCGAAGGCGGGUCUCUGGGCCGAUACUGACGCUGAGGAGCGAAAGCGUGGGGAGCAAACAGG